rnacentral:lncRNA from 1 species
UAGAAGGGGGCAAACUGCCUACAUGCACAUGGGGGCAGGAGGUGGGCAGCUCUGAGGUCCACCAGUGGGCAAAGCUCCAGGUCAGCUUCUAGGGAGGAGGCCUGGGAGGAGGAAGACGUGUGAUGAGCUGAAAGAAACUGGAAGGUGCCAGGGCUUGAGGGGAGAGACUGUCCCUAAAGCACCGUCAGGUAAGUUACCUCCCACUGAUUACCUGGAGCUGGGAAGCUUUAGGGAUGGA